rnacentral:misc_RNA from 1 species
CCAAACUUGGUCAUUUAGAGGAAGUAAAAGUCGUAACAAGGUCUCCGUUGGUGAACCAGCGGAGGGAUCAUUACAGAGUUACUAUAAAACUCCCAACCCUUUGUGAACCUUACCGUCGUUUCCUCGGCGGCGAGCCGCGCGUCGGAAUUCAGAAGGAGCUACCCUGGAGCCACCUACCCUGUAGGUGGCUACCCUGGAGCUACCGUAUGGAGUGGACGCGCCGGCCCCGUCGAUGGACCAGACCAAACUCUUUGUCUAUAUACUACGUGUCUCUGAACAACCGAAACAAAAAAUUCGUUAAAACUUUCAACAACGGAUCUCUUGGUUCUGGCAUCGAUGAAGAACGCAGC